rnacentral:rRNA from 1 species
CCUACGGGUGGCAGCAGUGGGGAAUAUUGGUCAAUGGGCGCAAGCCUGACCCAGCAACGCCGCGUGAAGGAUGAAGGCUUUCGGGUUGUAAACUUCUUUUCUUAGGGACGAAGAUAGUGACAUUACCUGAGUAAUCAGCCUCGGCUUCCUAGGUGCCAGCCGCCGUGGUAAUACGUAGGUGGCAAGUGUUAUGCGGAUUUAUUGGGUGUAAAGGGCGUGUAGGGGGGAGGGCAAGUCAGAUGUGAAAUCUCAGGGCUCAACCCUGAGCCUGCAUUUGAAACUGUGUUUCUUGAGUGCGGGAGAGGCAGGCGGAAUUCGGGGUGGAGCGGUGAAAUGCGUAGAGAUAAGGAGGAACACCAGUGGCGAAGGCGGAUUGCUGGAACGUAACUGACGCUGAGGCGCGAAAGCGUGGGGAGCAAACAGGAUUAGAUACCCGGGUAGUC